rnacentral:rRNA from 1 species
UACGUAGGGUGCAAGCGUUGUCCGGAAUUAUUGGGCGUAAAGAGCUCGUAGGCGGUUUGUCGCGUCUGCUGUGAAAACUCGGGGCUCAACUCCGAGCUUGCAGUGGGUACGGGCAGACUAGAGUGCGGUAGGGGAGACUGGAAUUCCUGGUGUAGCGGUGGAAUGCGCAGAUAUCAGGAGGAACACCCGUGGCGAAGGCGGCUCUCUGGGACGGUACUGACGCUGAGACGCGAAAGCGUGGGGAGCGAACAGG